rnacentral:rRNA from 1 species
AGAGUUUGAUCCUGGCUCAGGAUGAACGCUGGCGGCGUGCUUAACACAUGCAAGUCGAACGCACCUUCGGGUGAGUGGCGGACGGGUGAGUAACGCGUGGGAAUCUGCCCUUAGGAGGGGGAUAACGGCUGGAAACGGCCGCUAAUACCCCAUAUGCCGAGAGGUGAAACGAAUUUCGCCUGAGGAUGAGCCCGCGUCUGAUUAGCUAGUUGGUGGGGUAAGAGCCCACCAAGGCGACGAUCAGUAGCUGGUCUGAGAGGAUGAUCAGCCACACUGGGACUGAGACACGGCCCAGACUCCUACGGGAGGCAGCAGUGGGGAAUUUCCCGCAAUGGGCGAAAGCCUGACGGAGCAACGCCGCGUGAGGGAUGAAGGCCUCUGGGCUGUAAACCUCUUUUCUCAAGGAAGAAGACAUGACGGUACUUGAGGAAUAAGCCACGGCUAAUUCCGUGCCAGCAGCCGCGGUAAUACGGGAGUGGCAAGCGUUAUCCGGAAUUAUUGGGCGUAAAGCGUCCGCAGGCGGCUCUGUAAGUCUGUUGUUAAAGCGUGGAGCUCAACUCCAUUUCAGCAAUGGAAACUACAGGGCUUGAGUGUGGUAGGGGCAGAGGGAAUUCCCGGUGUAGCGGUGAAAUGCGUAGAUAUCGGGAAGAACACCAGUGGCGAAGGCGCUCUGCUGGGCCAUAACUGACGCUCAUGGACGAAAGCCAGGGGAGCGAAAGGGAUUAGAUACCCCUGUAGUCCUGGCCGUAAACGAUGAACACUAGGUGUCGGGGGAAUCGACCCCCUCGGUGUCGUAGCCAACGCGUUAAGUGUUCCGCCUGGGGAGUACGCACGCAAGUGUGAAACUCAAAGGAAUUGACGGGGGCCCGCACAAGCGGUGGAGUAUGUGGUUUAAUUCGAUGCAACGCGAAGAACCUUACCAGGGUUUGACAUCCUGCGAAUCCCUUGGAAACUUGGGAGUGCCUUCGGGAGCGCAGAGACAGGUGGUGCAUGGCUGUCGUCAGCUCGUGUCGUGAGAUGUUGGGUUAAGUCCCGCAACGAGCGCAACCCACGUCUUUAGUUGCCAGCAUUCAGUUGGGCACUCUAGAGAGACCGCCGGUGAUAAACCGGAGGAAGGUGUGGAUGACGUCAAGUCAUCAUGCCCCUUACAUCCUGGGCUACACACGUACUACAAUGCUACGGACAGAGGGCAGCAAGCUCGCGAGAGUUAGCAAAUCCCAUAAACCGUGGCUCAGUUCAGAUCGUAGGCUGCAACUCGCCUACGUGAAGGAGGAAUCGCUAGUAAUCGCAGGUCAGCAUACUGCGGUGAAUACGUUCCCGGGCCUUGUACACACCGCCCGUCACACCAUGGAAGUUGGCCAUGCCCGAAGUCGUUACUCCAACCCUUGUGGAGGAGGACGCCGAAGGUGGGGCUGAUGACUGGGGUGAAGUCGUAACAAGGUA